rnacentral:tRNA from 2 species
GUGAUGGCACGGUAAGUUAGAAUCGCACUCUAGAGGUCAGAGGUUCGAUUCCCCUCGUCUCCACCA